CCACCUCACAUAACCUUCAGGGAAGGAAUUGUGUAACGCUUGCAGAUGGAGCUACAGCAGCGAUGGGUGGUCCCACCCCGGGACCUACCCUGAGACUGACCCUGGCUGUGAUCUCGUGUUCUGACCCCAGGUGCUCAGCACUAACAUGAGGAGCAUAAAUCUGCCUCUGACUGGGGCUAUUGGCAUCUAAGCAGGCCCAGAGCAGCACCAGAAGAUCCAAUAGCCACUGGACAAACGAAGCCAAGAGUCUCUGUGUAAAGGUUCUAGUAGAGUCUUGUUGGCUCUACAGAACGGCCAGUCUCUGCUGCAGCCUCUUAACUCCAUAAUGAACUCAAGACAGUUCUGGAAAAUAGAGAGGAACUCUGGCCUGGCUUGUUCCAGGGUUCUUCAUAAAAGCAUCUCAUAGGGUGGAUUUGGACAGCCAGUUUUAGUUUUCCAACCCAGGGACUGUUGUAUUGCAGGGACCAUUUGUAAGGCGAUAUUGCCUUCUUUUAGUCAAUGGGUAGAUGACCCGGACUCAAUCUGUAGACUGAACUGUGUCUUGGAAUGGGUGGCUGUCUUCAUUCAGAACCUUACGCACCUUGGUUUCCUUGCUUUAGAAAUCAACUUUCUUGGCUACCAUAAUGUAGCUGCUCCAGGGACCUGGGGUCUGUGUAACCUCUCUACAGUUCUCUGCAGGUACAACACUGGCUUCCAUUCUCAACCCAUCUUUAGUCCUGCGAAUGGCUCACCUCUGACCUUUGACAGCUAAGCCCCAUUACCUGUUCACAGGAUCCUGUCAUUCCCAUGGCCACAGGAAGUUCCUCUCAGUGACAGUGUCUCCCUCAUCCAGGCUCUUCAGUGGAACCCUGGAUUGGUGACUUCCCCAGCCUCGCUUAGCUCAUCUGCUUCUCCAAGCCUCCUGAUGUCUCUAGGGGAUGGGAUACUUCCCUAGCACCAUUAGGUCCUGGGAUGCACACGCUUACUUCAUUUUUAAUGGUUCGUGUUUGCUAGACCCUCCAGAUAUUUCUACUCCAGUUUCUUCCCUCUCACACAAGCAACCCAUGAAACAUAAGUCCUUUGUGUAUCCCUGGGGCUAAGCUGCUAAAUGUACCCCCUACUCUGACAUGUGCUAAAAAGUAUUACCUCUGGUUUAUACUAUGGUGUCCCUGAUCAAGUCUUGUUUCUGGAGACAGAACCUAGAAUUCCUGGUGAAUCCCCACUGACCCUAACUAAGACAGUUUGAGAUGGUGAAUCCCCACUGAGCUGCCAGUAUCAAGAAAAUAGGGCCUUUCUUUAAUGCUCCACUGUGGGAGCAGGUUCUGAUAAAAGAUGGCUAACACUUGGAUCUCAGGAAGAAGAGCAGCCUCUUAUCCGAGACUGUUUUGUGAAUGAGAGAGGUUUUGGGGAGGACUGUGCAAUGAGCCACCAUCAGCCCAUGCUCUGGGAAGUGGAGGGUGAAGGCUGCCAUCCUGAAAGGCGGCAGCUGGGAUGCUUCAGUGUUCAUAGGAAGGUGAGCUCUUGACUUCCUCUGCAGAGCUCUGCCUCCAGAUGGUGCUUGGAGUGACCAGAACUAUACUGACCCGAACCGGGAGGCUCUAAGGGACAAGGGGACAGAACACAGAUGCGAGGACAAUAGAGUGGAAAUCCUAUAGUCAUCCUCUGAGUCUAUUGAGCUUUUUAAUCAACAUUGCUGGGGUCGCAAGGCCCGUUUUAAAUCAAUCUGAGCAGGUUUUUCUCUUUCCUUAAGAGGAUGCCAUUGUGACCAAUACACUACUCAAAAAUUGAAUUUAUGGAACUUUCCAGGAACUGAUGGAGGGGACGGAAGAAGAAUGGGUGUAACUGAUUGGAUUUUUUUUUUCCUGCAUGGUCCUGCUAUUUCAAAAUAUAUAUACAGGAUUUAAUGAAAGACGGGAGGUAUUGCGGAAAUGUAUUAGCGUUUGUCUCUCUCCGUUUUGUUUGUACUGACCUCCCCAGUAGUCCACGGAAGCAUUCAAUUGCUUCAGUGGUCUUUAGCUCUGCUGCCGUAUUGACAGGAAGAACAGGGCAGCUGGCUCUACAGCCAGGCACCCUCUGAUAAGGCCAGGGGCUUUCAGUUCUUAUUUUUAGAUUUCCAUUAAAAGCCGGGUGCAGACCGCAAAACAUUCACGUUCAGCAUUAGCUAGAACUGAAGAGAAAAAGAUACAACCGAGAGUAAAAUCCGCCCUUCAAGUAGCCAGAGGUGGAGGGCACGGGGGGGGGGGGGGGCAGGAAUGUAGUGCAUAGACACACACAGCCAGUUGUUCUUCAUAAGGUGACAAGCCAGUCAGGGGCACAGACAGUUGGCAUGUUGAGAGGAGGAGGCUGGGAAAUUUAGAAUCACAGAGUAUUAUUCGUUUGACAGUGUGCCCAAGCAGAAAUGACAUGGUGCUUGGUGCUGUUUUGAUGGGCUAGUGAGCCUCAGUGGUACCCCUGCCUCUUUGUCUACCAACUGGUGACCAUGAGCCAUAUAUAUAUAUAUAUAUAUGUGUGUGUGUGUGUGUGUGUGUGUGUGUACAUAUACAUAUAUAUCCCAAACAUAACAAUAAUAAAAUAAAUCAUAUGCUAUAAUAAAUACUUUUAUUCCAGGCCACUAUUAAGUAAAAUAAUGGUAUCUGGAACAUAAUCGUUGUGACUUCAUUGAAGAUGUCUACUGGAUUACUAAUGAGUGGGUAACCACCUCAACUUGGGUCCACUGGGCACGACGGUAAAUCACGUUCCAGACAGGGGAAAAGAGCUCUGCGAGCUUUGGUAUGUUACUAAAAACAAUAUGCAAUUGAAAGUUUAUGAUUUUUUUUUCCUAGAUCUUUUCCACCUAAUAUUUUCAGACCACAAUUGCCCGCAGGCAAACGAACCCGUAGAAAGGGAAACCACGGACAAGGGGUGCUACUAUAUUCAAAUUCCUUCUCUUCCUGCUCCCUGAAUGUGCAUGAAAUCCAACUUCCCGGUGAGAAAACUGAGACUCCAUUAGCACCUCAUAAGCUGGAGAAUUUAGGGCUCCGUGCAAGGGCGAGAGUUCCCAUUAGGCUGCUGGGAAAUUAAGUACGAAUCCACUUUACCUCAGACCAGCACUACACUGUAGAUACAGCUUUCUCUGCCUUGCAGGCUGCAGUUUGAUUGGACCAACUUUUCAUGGGCAUCAAGCUUGAUUCUUCAUGGUCAUGAAAUUUGUCUUCUCCACCGUUCAGUCCUCUAGAAGAGAACCUUUCUCAAGACCUCACAUUGGGAAGUGACUUGUAGUUAGCAGGCUGCCGUUUGUCUCAUUACGUAUAUGUGUAUGGUUAUGAAGGCCAGCAGAUCAUAUAGCUAUAGUUCGUUGGGGGAUGGGUUCUGUGCACUGUGUUUUCAGAUACUGAUUCCCAUGCCCAGACAGCUGGCAGCAGUCUAGAUGAAGGCCAGGUCAAGCAUCUCUGGUCUCAAUGUCAUGUAAAAAUUGUUUUCCAUCACUUCUGAUUUGUUAGUAAAAGAGCCGGUCAGCCAAUGAGCUGGGCAGAAGAAAUAGGGCGGGACUCCCGAUCCUAGUCAUGGGACCCUGCCCGCCCCAGAUUUCCCAAUUCCAGCGUGGGGUUAAAGAAAAGUAGCCAUGGGAACACAGGAACAUCAGGCUCACCGGAAUACAUGAGAUGAUGGGGAACUGGAACCCUUGGAGGCUCUCUGUAUUUUAUGGGAUGACUUGUAUUUGCUUGAUGUCCAGUCUGUGACACACCAAUGGAAUCGCUUAAUAUUUCUUGCUUAAUAUUUUUGAACCACAGAACACCAACGUGACUGACGUACUUCAGAAUAGCUUGGGCAAACCGUCCGACUUCUUCCCUCCAUGCUAGCAGAAGCCAGCAGAAUGAGAAUUACGACAGGGUCCCAUGGCGAGGAUAGAAUUUCCAACAAGCCAGUCUUUGAGGAGGGUGACCCAUCUAGAGAUGACAAAUGGUCAGUCCCAAAGGCAGCAGCUGGCCCCACUGUAAAUCCAGGUUCAGGGUCCUUUAAAACACACACCUGUUGCAGGGGAGUCCCUG
rnacentral:lncRNA from 1 species